AGGAUUUUCACAAGUGGAAGAGCUGGCCUUCACUGAUGAAUAGAUAGUGCGUCCAUAAUGACUGGAGAAAACCGCUUUUCCUCCAGCAGGUGGAGACCGUGGAGGGCAGGGCCAGACCUGUCUGAGAUCUGGGGUCAGGGACAGGAAUGAGUCAG
rnacentral:lncRNA from 1 species